GAUAGCUCAUUUAAAAUAAUAAUAAAGUAAUAUAGAUUUUAGUAGGAAACAUUAUAUGUAGUCAUCACUGUAAAUGAAAAUUCUGUGAUACAUCUGAAGAGGUUCUAUGAGAGAACCUGCAAGAAACAGAAAUUCUUUGGCUGAUAAGCCCCUGCCCCCCAAUAUUGUGUGGACUAUGGAAACCUCCCUGAGAUUCAGUAAUCCAUGAUUAAACUUUAAUGAACACAUGAAUCCCUUGGGGAUCUUGUUAAAAGGCACAUUCAGAUUCAGCAGGUCUAGGAUGGAGGGAAGAAGACAGGAAGAAGAUUUCCACCUCUACUCUUGAGCCUCCCUCUUAAAUGAUGCUUGGGGCAACAACCCUUCAAAAUUAGGAAACACUGGGAUAACCAUAGUCCAUAUGGCCAGAAUAUACAGAAUUCAAAUUUCUGUCCCUGCUAUUGACUGAUACAGUCAUUUUGAAUAUUACAAUUUCCCUCUGUUUUUAGAGGAAAUCAAAUAUUGCAUAAUAAACU